UACGUAGGGUGCAAGCGUUGUCCGGAAUUAUUGGGCGUAAAGAGCUCGUAGGCGGUUUGUCGCGUCUGCUGUGAAAACUCGGGGCUUAACUCCGGGCCUGCAGUGGGUACGGGCAGACUAGAGUGCGGUAGGGGAGACUGGAAUUCCUGGUGUAGCGGUGGAAUGCGCAGAUAUCAGGAGGAACACCGGUGGCGAAGGCGGGAUCCUGGGCCAGUACUGACGCUGAGGAGCGAAAGCGUGGGGAGCAAACAGG
rnacentral:rRNA from 1 species